rnacentral:lncRNA from 1 species
AGACCCCGGAGUAGCCGGGACUACAGGCGCCUGUGCAAUCUCUAUGGUAACCACAUUUCCCAGUUGACUACUACCGGUAAUAAAAUCAAAUGGAUUCAGUGCUCACAACUCUUCAGUCUUUGGGCUACUUUCCAUUCUUGAAUUUUUAGCUGAAUUCAUCUCUUUGGCUGGAUUUUGUGAAUCGGGCAGCCAUUAGAACCAAAACAGUUCUGAGGAGCUCCCAGGCUGCAAUGUGGUGCGAAAUGUUUUAUGGACAGAAAAUGGAAAUGAGGUGCAGAAAUUGGAGCCUUUCACCAGUGUAACCAUCCCAAAUUUGCAUCUUGUCUGAUGCUAACUGAGGAAGAAGGGCACCUGGAGUUUGACCAGCAGGAACAAAACAUGUUAAAAUUGUUGCAGAAGAUGAUGAGAUGAAAUUUCAGUCUUUAUUCAAGAUCAAGUGCAACUGUCUCUUUGAGGAAAGUCCUUUGACCGCCAUUUCUCCCCUUCAGAAGGCAAACACCUGGGGGAGAAGAUCUGCUUAAGGACCUGGUAACUGACAAAGAAUGGAAUGGGAGCGAGAACCGCCUAGCCAUCCCUUCUCCUUGCACAGUCAUGAAACAAAAGUUGAAAAGGAGCCUGGUUUUACUUGACCAGUCAUAAAUUACCAUAAAAUAAAAUGAGAUAUUAGGAACCUUUGAUCUCUGAAAAAGUAAUAUGUGUUGAAAAGAAAUAUCACUGUUACAUAUAGACAAAUAAUAGAAAUAUUUGAGGCAUGCAUUUAAAAUGUAGAGGCCACUUAUAGCAGGCAUAUUAACAUGUGCAUUUGCUUUUUAAGAAGUAUACACACGUGUACCUUUAGCUUUGAAAGGGUAAGAUUCAAUGCUUGGGUGAUGGAUGCACUAAAGUCUCAGAAGCCACCACUAAAGGACUUACCCACGUAACCGAAAACAACCUGUACUCCAAAAUCAAUGAAAUAAAAUAAAAAGGUAAGAUUCAUAAAUAGCAAGUUGAGAAUGCAUGUUUAUACCAUGUAGACAAUGCAUGA